ensembl:misc_RNA Metazoa_SRP Metazoan signal recognition particle RNA
GCUGGGCGCUGUGGUGCACGCCUUUAGUCCCAGCUACUCGGGAGGCUGAGACAGGAGGAUCGCUUGAGUCCAGGAGUUCUGGGCUGUAGUGCGCUAUGCCGAUCGGGUGUCCGCACUAAGUUCGGCAUCAAUAUGGUGACCUCCCGGGAGCGGGGGACCACCAGGUUGCCUAAGGAGGAGUGAACCGGCCCAGGUCGGAAACGGAGCAGGUCAAAACUCCCGUGCUGAUCAGUAGUGGGAUCGCGCCUGUGAAUAGCCACUGCACUCCAGCCUGGGCAACAUAGCGAGACCCUGUCUCUU